rnacentral:piRNA from 1 species
UAUUUGGUAGCCAAGUUCUGAAAAGUGCUCU